UGUGAAUAAUCGGUGCGAACGUGGGAAUCGCGCUGGCGUUGCAAGUUCGCAGUGCAGUUGUUGUUGUAACGUCCAUGUGGAGUGUCAAUUAUGUGGAAAUAUAUUUACAAAGAUGCCCCCUGUGCGUGUACGUGUGUGUGAGUGAUUCUCCUGGCACUGAAUGUCACUAAAAGAGAGCGAGGGAGAGACCGCGAGUGUGGGAGUGGAAGUGGAAGUGGGGCUGCUCUCUUUCCAGUGCGUGUAGAUCAGUUACCGCCAACAAUAACAACAACAACAACAGCAAUAACAGCAGCAUCGGCAGCAGCAGCAAUAACAAACAAACAAACAAGCAAGCGACAAUUCACAUUCAUUCCCAUUCAUUGCUGCGAUUAUCGCCAGUUGUGCUUUGCUCUUUCACCACGCACGAACACGAACCAGUGGGUGAAAGGAAGUGAGAGUGGAGAGUGGAGACCGGAGAGCGGAAAGAGCGCGGAGAGUGUCGCGUGUGAACCGUAGGAAAAUGAGCGGGGGCUGCGGAGGCCGAAGCGAAUGAAGUGGAAGCAGCAACAGUCGAAAAGUUCGCUCUGGGCACGCCCCCUUAUGACGCCCCCUGUGACGCGUUAUCAGCGGACACCCAACAAACACAACAAACACAAAGACCUGACCAAAAUCCACACAAAAUGGCGAUAAACUCGAGUGCCAGAGAAUGAGAAACGCCGCGGGCCCAAAAAGUUCGUUCCCCAAAUAAAAAGGAGCUAAACAAACUCGUUUCUGCCCCACAACAACACCACCCAUGCCCCCCUAAACCCCCGGAGAUCCCGCACCACAGAACCCACCACAAGCAGCGAUAAGCAUCCGAAGAUUUGGGUGGCCCAGUCCACAAAAAACCCCGCACCAACCCCGAAACAAGCGCCUAAGAUGUGUUCCCGCAACAUUAAGAUCUCGGUGGUGCUGUUUCUCGUCCUGAUACCAAUCUUCGCCGCCUUGCCACACAACCACAACCUGUCGAAGCGCAGCAACUUCUUCGACCUGGAGUGCAAGGGCAUCUUCAACAAGACCAUGUUCUUCCGACUGGACCGCAUCUGCGAGGACUGCUACCAGUUGUUCCGCGAGACGAGUAUACACCGAUUAUGCAAGAAAGACUGCUUUGAUUCAAAAUGGUUUGGCGAGUGCCUGAAAGUGCUGUUAAUACCCGAAGAGGAAAUAUCCAACCUCCAGCACUUUCUGAGAGUAGUGAACGGCUCGCCCAUAUCCUUCAACAUGGGGCCGCAAACAUAACUCUAAGUCCCGCCCACACACCCACACCCACACCCACACCACCCACCACACACCAUACAGCACACACCACACACAGUUGAGAAUCGCUGCGAACAUCGUGGGUUGGAACGGGCAUCCGAGUCCAGAUCCAGAUGCAGUCCCACUACGACCACAAAUGCAGAGCCAGAACACAGAAAUCUAAAAUAUUAAAACGCCCAAAUUUAAUUCGUACUUAUUUAUUACUGUAUGCCUUACAGUUUUUACUAUAUGUGUUUUUUUAAAAACGAAUUAUUUUUAUUAAUUUAUUGAGAACGUUAUGCGUUUGUUGUAAGUAACAUAAUCGGGGAGUGAGAGAUGGGCGAUGUUGAUGAUGAUGAUGAUAAUAAUGAUGAGGAUGAUAAUGAUGAUGAUAAGGUGGAGGAUCGCAGAUCUCGCACUCCCCAAAUAUACAUAGAAGCCGAAGUAUUUAUUUUUAAGUAUUCUUAGCUUGUUUUAUUAUUAUUGCGUUAUGCGGUUUGUAUAUAAAAUAAACAAAACGAAAUCCAUUGUUUUUAAUCUAUGUAAUGUAAAAUGAUAACUUUUAUUUUUGUAUCUGUAUUCUACUGUAAAAUCAGCAUUUAGAGUUUACAUUUUACACGAUUUUCCGCAAGGGCAAACUACAUUGAUAAAGAUAAACCCAUUACGAACACACACCCCCACACACACACACAUACACAUACGCAAUCGAGACCGAAAGUAUUUUGCAAAUGUAUUACACUUACAAUUUUGUGCUAUUUUGUAAAGAUGAAACCCUGAAUAGUGUAAAUCUGUUGGCGCAAAAACGAGAUAUUUGCCUAUAAAGUAUAUGCAUACCUAUCUAAAGCUAAAGCCCUACGUAUGUAUCCGAAUACGAAUACCCUACACACAUGCUUACUAUUAGAGAGAAAAGCAAGAUCGCAAUUUGUGCAAGACACAAACAAAAACCUGGUAAAAACACGCGAAGUACGACUGCAUUACAAAUGCGGCAAUAAAUAAUACAAAUAAACCCCUGUAAAUUAAUAAAGGAUAAUCAUUCGCUGGCUAUUUGAGAGCAUCAAAAUUGUGAUAAAUGAGAAUUUAGAAUGCGAAUGCGCGACGCAGAGCGACCAGAGACCCAGAGACACGAGAAAGUGAUCGCUAUAUCGCUAAAUAGGCGGCGGAGAAUGCCAGAGACACCGCCAGAGAAAGAGAACGCCAUGGAGGAGGCGACAGAGACAGACAGACUGCAGCUGGCGAUUUGCGCGCGUUUCUGGCGCGACUAAAAACGCCUGCUUACCGUUUUUGUUUUGGCAAGAAUGCUUCGGAUCGCCCUUCUUCAACGCCUGCAUAGAGGCUCUUCAGCUGCACGAGGAGAUGGACAAGUAUAACGAAUGGCGCGAUACCCUGGGUCGCAAGUAAAAAGCGAUUCUCUGGGAUUUUCUGGCACCGUCACUGGCACGAGCAGCUACUUAAUUCUAUAAACUAUUAACUAAAACUAUUAUUAUUGAUAACUGUGGCAGAACACGGCACGAAACUAUGGCAACCAGGAAACGAUCGACCCGAGGAAUGUGUACCACUUAAAGAAACAACUAAGCUAACAUCUAGCUACAAGAGAAAGCAGAUCAAAAAUGUUGAAAAAAAAAAUUAUGAAAACAAUUACUAAACUAUUACACGCUACUUAUCCGCACAUAUAUCGGAAAGUUAAGAUUGGUCUAUAUAUUAAUUCCAUCAUCUGUCACGGAACAGUCUCGUGGAGCUUUUAGUUGUAGUGAAUUACGUGAAUUAUGCUCAUUUCUUUUAGUUCUUCGCGCAGAAGAGAGCGAAAAAUUAUGCCACGAAACAAACAUGAAAAUAAACAUGAGAACAAACAAACAAACAAACGAACGAACGAACAAGAAUCAAAAUGUCUGAUGUAUAUAACUAUUUUUGUCUUCUUUUAAAGAUUUCUAUACAUAUUUAUAACGCCUAACUAAUUUGUACAUUUCUUUUAUUUCGUAAGCUUAAGUUAAUUUGUUACGGCAAUAAAUUCUACGUUCCCACAUACGCACUCUUGCAAUAGAACGGAAAACACAUCUGAGCAACCCCACACGGCAUAAUUCGAUUCUAUGUACUAUUGCAAAUGCCCUACAAUUAUAUAAAUAUUAAUUAAUUUAAACUUGUUUGGAUCUAGUCGUAAAAUAUAAAUAAAGAUUGUAUAUUUCAAGAGGA